AAUGAUCGUGAACAUUUCCUCAUGUAUCUGUUAGCUACCUGAAUGUCUUCUUUAGUGAAGUGUCUAUUCAUAUCUUUUGCCCGUUUUUCAAUGGGGUUAUUUGUCUUUCUGUAGUUGAGUUUUUGCAGUAUCAUGUAGAUUUUAGAGAUCAGGUGCUGAUCGGAAAUGUCAUAGCUAAAAACUUUUUCCCAGUCUGUAGGUAGUCUUUUUACUCUUUUGGUGAAGUCUUUGGAUGAGCAUAGGUGUUUGAUUUUUAGGAGCUUCCAGUUAUCUAGUUUUUCUUCUGCAUUCUUAGUAAUGUUUUGUAUACUGUUUAUGCCAUGUAUUAGGGCUCCUAACAUUGUCCCUAUAUUUCUUCCAUGAUCUUUAUAGUUUUAGAUUUUAUACUUAGGUCUUUGAUCCAUUUUGAGCUUGUUUUUGUGCAGGGUGUGAGGUAUGGGUCUUGUUUCAUUUUUUUGCAGAUGGAUAUCCAGUUAUGCCAGCACCAUUUGUUAAAAAGACUGUCUUUUCCCCCUUUAACUGUUUUGGGGCCUUUGUCAAAUAUCUACUGCUCAUAUGUGGAUGGAUUUAUGUCUGGAUUCUCAAUUCUGUUCCACCAGUCCAUGUAUCUGUUGUUGUACCAGUACCUGGCUGUUUUGACUACUGUGGUGGUAUAAUAGGUUCUAAAAUCAGGUAAAGUAAGGCCUCCCACUUUGUUCUUCUUUUUCAGUAAUGCUUUACUUAUCUGGGGCCUCUUUCCCUUCCAUAUGAAGUUGGUGAUUUCUUUCUCCAUCUUACUAAAGAAUGUCCUUGGGAUUUGGAUCGGAAUUGCAUUAAAUAUAUAGUUCGCUUUUGGUAGAAUAGACAUUUUUAUAAUGUUAAGUCUUCCCAUCCAUGAGCAAAGUAUGUUUUUCCACUUAUGUAAGUCUCAGAGAUUUUUUUUUAAGUGAUGUUUUUUAUUAUGUUGAUUUCACCUAAACAGAGAUGAUUUUUAAAAUUAUUUUCCACACAGGAUCAUUUGAAAAAAUGUUAGAAAAAUCAAGACUGACAAAAAAUUUUUUUUUUUUUUUUAAUGUUACUUGCAGUCAUAGAAUAGCAGUCAGUACAUUGGAGUUUUUUCUUGGAAAAAAAAUUUUUUCUUAGAUAUGUUCAGAAAGAUAUGCACAACUGUAUAAAUUUAAUAAGAGCAUAUUAUGCAUACUUUUAUUUAAAUGAAAAUAUUCUAAAUUAUAAGAGUAGAAGAAUAUUUCCCAGUAAAAUAAUACAAAUAGCUACUAAGUGAAAGUUAUUUGCACUUUUACCCCCCACACUCCCACAGAAAACUUCUGUUAGAUUUCAUGUAGAUCUUUCCACACUCCUUUUGAUGAAUGCAUAAACACAUUAGAGGUCUUUUUCCACACAAAAAUAAAGAAACCAUUCUGUAUGUAUUUCCUUUUCUCUUUUAUUCUUUUUUUCCACUUUAAUCCGUACAAACUUCACUACCUAAAUGGCCUCCGGUGAUUCCAUCACACAGAUGAACCAGUUUGCUCAUGACACUUUUAUGUUACCCCCAACAUGUAGACAUUGCCCUCAUUCUUGCUUAUUGCCUUAGCAUAAAUUUUUAGACAUAGAAAUGUUGGGUCAAAAAUAAUGUACAUUUAAUACUGUGAUCCUUAUUGCCAAAUUUCCUUCCAGAAAUUUGCAGAGCUUCCUCCAGCAAUAUAUUAGUGUCUUCUUUGAAAACUCCACUGUAUCAGUUGGCAUUAUUUUAUCUUUUUAACCUUUGCCAAGAAGAGAAAUAAAACAAAUAUAUCAUUGUUAUUUUAAUUUUCCUUUCUUUGAUUAUUAGUUAGGUUUUAACUUGUUUAUUGGCCCCUGACACAUUGUCUCCAACAAUGGACUUUAGCAUAACAACAAUUGUAAGGAUGGCGCAGGACCGGGCAGUGUUUCUUUCUGCGCAGGACCGGGCAGUGUUUCUUUCUGCUGUACAUAGGGUCGCUAUGAGUCGGAACUGACUCAAUGGCACCUAACAACAAAAACAGUCAUUUUUUGGGAACGGGCAUUCUCUAAAGCCCUGGUGGCGCAGUGAUUAAGAGCUUGGUUGCUAACCGAAGAAGGUAGCAGCUCGAGUCCGUCGGCUGCUCUUUGGAAACUUUUGGGGCAGUUCUACUCUGUCCUAUAGGGGUCGCUAUGAGCAGGAAUCGACGGCAAAGGAUUUUUUUUUUUUUUUUUUUGAACGUGGCCUUCUCUAUGGACUUUGCCUAAUUUUAUAUUGGGUUGUUCAUCUUUUUCUGAUUGACUUGUAAUAGCUUCACUUAAAGUUGUUUCCCCCUCCCCCGCCAGGUAAUCUUGUCCCAUUUUUAAAGAAUUCUGUUUUUAUUAAAAUAAAAUAAAAUUUAUACAAAAAUCUAAGGGGAUUUGAUGUCUUUACAAUAUUGAGGCUUUCCCCUAGGAAUAUACUGGGCUUCAGUGGUUGCCUGGGAAGAGAUGCUGGGGGGAGGUGAGAGGCAGAAACGCAAAGGCACAUGGAAUGCGUUAGGAUUGAUAAAUACAUUCAUUGUCUUGCUUGUGGUGAUGUUUCAUGGGCCUAUGCAUAUAUCGGAACCCCUGGUGGCAUAGUGGUUAUUGGAACCCUUGGUGGCAAAGCGGUUAAGUGCUAAGGCUGCUAACCAAGAGGUCGGCAAUUCAAAGCCACCAGGUGCUCCUUGGAAACUCUAUGGGGCAGUUCUACUCUGUCCUGUGGAGUCUCUACGAGCCCGAAUCCAGUUGACAGCACUGGGUUUUUUUGUUAUAUAUAUAUAUGAACUUGUCAAAUUUUAUACGUUAAAUAUGUGCAGUUUAUUGUAUGUUAAUUGUGGCUCAAUAAAACUGUUAUAAAAAAAAAAAAGUGGCAUCAAGCAUGCAAUAAACAGUUUUCAGCCAAGAACAAAAAUUGACCUUGAUCAGAAUAUUUUUCUUGAAAUCUUGGUUAGAUGUCUCCUGUUACAGUUAAGAUGGCUUUCUAAAAUAAAUUGGAAAGCCAAAGACAGUUAUUUUAACCUUCAAGAUUAAGGAAACUGAACCAGUUAAAGUCAGUGCUUCCAAAUGAGAUACAGUUGGGGGGGAAAAAAAAAACCCUAAAAACAAAUAUGAUUUCUGAGUAGCAUUAUCUGGGAAUAAACAGUCUAUAAGCUUCUGAGAAUGAAAGAGAGAGGAGAAUAAGCAAGAAGGAAAGAGUUUUAGGAUUGCUUUAAAUCUGAGCCAUGUAGUUAGAGAAUAACGGCCUAUGAUAAAUUUCUAGAGAUACUUCAGUAUUGAGAAAGAGCCAUGCUCAAAAAUCUUUCCUUUUAGUGCAAGAAGUGACAACCUAAUGAUUUCAAAAGGCAAUAUGACUUGAGAACGCACACACAGUUAUCAGCCAGGAUUUAUGGAGUUGAAGGUGACUGAAGAAUGUACCAGAAGGACAUGCCUCUGGGAAAAGAUGCCAAGUGAUGUGCACAGGGCUCUGAGUCAGCUGGCACUUACACACUGUCCAAAGGGGUCAGCAAAAUGAAUCUUCAUAUUGGGGACUGCCUGGAAGCACUGUACUCAGGCUUAGCUGUUGCAGUAGAAAUACCCGUUUAUAAAUUAUUGUUAAAUGACUUGAAAACUUCUUUGCUGUAAGAAUGUAAUAGAUUUUAAAUUAACAGUUCAGAUCAAAUUAUCUUGAUUAGAAGAGGAGGAGGAAGAGUGAGAAAAGGAGGAGGCAGUAAAGAUAUAUAUAUAUAUAUAUUUCUUUUUGAGGCAAUUAAAGAGUAAUGGGAAGAACUCUGGUCUUGGAGUCUGAAGGCCAGGGUUCAAGUCCCAGCUUUGACAUUUACUGGUUGUGUAAUAACAAAAAAAUUGUUUAGCUUUUCCAAGCCUCUUGUUCCUCAGAUAUGUAAAUUGGUUAUAAAAACAAUUUAUGUACCUUCCAGGGGUGUGGUAAAAAUCAAAAGUGUUAAUGUAUGUUUAAAUCUUUUUCAAAGUACGUUAAAAUAAACCAAACCCAUUGCCAUCAAGUCAAUUCCGACUUAUAGUGACCCUAUAGGACAGAACUGUCCCAUAGGGUUUCCAAGGAGUGGCUGGUGGAUUCAAGCAGCUGAGCUUUUAACCACUGCGCCACCAGGGCUCCAAAGUACAGUGGGCACUACAAGUAUUAAUCAUUGUUUUUGUAUUGGUAGUUGCUGUUAAGUUGGUUCCGACUGAUAGCAACUCUACGUACAACAGACUGAAACACUGCCUGGUCCUGUACCAUCCUCAGAAUCGUUAUGCUUAAGACCAUUGUUGCAGCCACUGUGUCAAUCCAUUUCUUUGAGGGCCUUCCUCUUUUUCGAUGACCCUCUAUUUCUCAAGCAUGUUAUCCUUCCCAUACACUGAUCUCUUCUGAUAAUAUGUCCAAAGUAUGUGAGACGUAGUCUUGCCAACCUUGCUUCUAAGGAGCAUUCCGAUUGUACUUCUUCCAAGACAGAUUUGUUUGUCUUUUUGGCAGUCCACUGUAUAUUUAUAUAUUGAGCAUUACUCUGAUGAUAUUUACCCUUCACUAAGUACAUAUAAUUGAUUAAGCAAUCAUUACUUUCCAAUGUUUGUUCUUUUGGCACUCUGGUUUUAAAUCUACAUUUUUUUCCCUUUCCUCAAUUAGUUUCUUUUAUAGUAAGACUAAAGCUGCUUUUGUUUUGUUUUAAGACUGAAGUGUUAAUAUUAGAAAAGAGCUGUUGUAUCAAACUGAUGGACUUCAGACAGUAACCAAGGACGUGUUCCUGUGCAAUCCCCAAGCCAACACACACACACAAACAUUCUAUCUUUAAAAACUGGUGGAGGGUGAAAGGAAAGUUAAUUGGAGCAAGCAGAUGGGACAAUUGUAGGCAAACUAGUGGGCCAAGUGAAAUAAAACUAGAUUUUAUUGUGUUCCUCUUAUCUGCAUAGACUUGAAUGGGUCUCAGUCCUGGGUUUCUAUUAUAGCUCUAUCUGUGCCCUAUGCAUUGACUCUAUCUACAAGGAUGCCUUGAAGGCACCUCAAGCUCAGCAAGUUCAAUUUAGAACUCAUUAUCUACUCCCCAGUUGCUUCAGCUAGAAGCCUUCGGGUCACUCUUGACUUCUCUCUCUCUCCUCAAAUCUCUCCCUUGCCCCAUAUCAAUCAGACUCCACAUCCGGUUGAUUCUACCCUCUAAUUAUCUUCAGAAUCUGCUUCUCCUCAUCUGCAUUUCUAUUGCCAUUGCCUGAGUUUAGGUUAUGGGCUUCUCAGUCUUCAGUUUCCUGUUUCCCUCCUCCAAUCUAGCCCUUAAAUUGCUAUCACCAAGAAUUAGCAUUCUGCAAAUGCAAACCAUCUCUCCCAAACACAAAAUGUUCUCUACCCUAUGGAAAUUUAGCUUUAGAAUAUAACCAGGUAAAUUAGCUAAGAUACAUGGGUUAAAAAGCUGUUCAUCAUAGUAUUGUUUAUAAUGGGGGAAAAAAAGGAAAGAACACUAAAUGUCCAAAAGAAGGGGUCUGUUAUAACAACAGGCUAUAAAAUUGUCAUUAAAAAUUGAGCUAGCAAAUCUGUAUUAAAUAAUCUGCAAAAAGCAUUGACAAUACUAAAGUUAACUAUAAAAUGCAAACUACUCAAUAAUGUGCAUAGAAGAAAUAAUGGAAACUUGGCGACCCCAUGUGUGUCAGAGCAGAACUAUGCUCCACAGGGUUUCAAUGGCUGAUUUUUCAGAAAUAGAUCACCAGGCCCUUCUUCUGAGGCACCUCUGGGUGGACUCAAACUACCAAUCUUUCAAUUAUCAGGAGUGCAUGUUAACCAUUUGCUUCACCCAGGGAUAUAGUUACUAUAUUGUAAAAAGAGAAUUCUAGAUGGUGGAAUUCAGCAGAAAUUUUUCUAGUCCCACCUUCCAAAAAACAAAAGCAAAUGGGAAUUAGAACAAAAACUCCACUAUGUAGCUCUUUACAAAAGGUAACCACUUCCUGCAAGAAUUUCAGUGACUAGGCAAAAUCAUAUAACUGAGCACCAGAGAAACGCUACUCAACGAAUUCACCAAUGUCCUAAAACUUAUGAAAACCUGGGGCUUUGGGAGAUCCUAUAUCUGUCUCAUUUUUUCAAGAAAAUUUUUCAUAGGAUCUCUGAUAUAAAAUACCACACACUGUCCUCAGUCCAUCAUGGUUUACUUCAUCCAUGUACAACUGUGCUUUACCUUUAUGUUUCUUUAUAAAAAUAACUGCUCAUGCAUAUCUUAAAGGCCAGUGAAAAGGGAUGCUGUAAGUAUGGGGAUAUGGGAUGGGGAAGGCCUGCUGCUCAGAUGUUUAGCUCUACGUCUGUCUCUCCGUUAAGGUCCCUGCUACGAGAAAAACCAAACCCAUUGCUGUUGUCGUGGAUUAACUUGUGUCCCCCCAAAAUAUGUGUCAACUUGGUUAGGCCAUGAUUCCCAGUAUUGUGUGAUGGUACACCAUUUUGUCAUCUGAUGUGAUUUUCCUGUGUGUUGUGGAUCCUACCUCUAUGAUGUUAAUGAGGCAGGAUUAGAGACAGUUAUGUUAAUGAGGCAUGAGUCAAUCUACAAGAUCAGGUUGUAUUUUAAGCCAAUCUCUUUUAAGAUCUAAAAGACAGAAGUGAGCAGAGACAUGGGGACCUCAUACCACCAAGAAAGCAGCACCAGGAGCAGAGCAUAUCCUUUGGACAUGGGGUUCCUGCACAGAGAAGCUCCUAGACCAGGACAAGACUGAUGACAGGGGACUUUCCCCAGAGCCAGUGGGGAGAGCAAGGGCCUUCCCCUGGAGCUGAUGCUCUGACUUCUAGCCUACUAGACUGUGAGAAAAUAAACUUCUGUUUUCUGAAGCCAUCCACUUGGGGUAUUUCUGUUGUAGCAGCCCUAGAUAAUGAACACAGCCAUUAAGUCGAUUCUGACUUACAGUGAUUCUGUAAGACAGAGUAGAACUGCCCCAUAGGGUUUCCAAGGCUGUGAUCUUCAUGGAAGCAGACUGCCAUAUUUUUCUCCUGUAGAGUGGCUGGAGGGUUUGAACCACCAAACUUUCAUUUAGCCUCUGAGAAAUUAGCCACUACUACCAAAAAAAUAAUUUUUUUUAUUUUUAUACCAAAAAAAAAAAACCUGUUGCCAUCGAGACCGUUCCAAACCAUAGCCACCCUAACCAGUGCUAGGAGUUAUUUUCAAACCCUUACAGUGGCUCAGGAAACCCUGGUGGUGUAGUGGUUAAGUGCUAUGGCUGCUACCCAAAAGAUCAGCAGUUCGAACACACCAGGCACUCCUUGGAAAUUCAGUGGGGCAGUUCUACCCUGUCCUACAGGGCCGCAAUGAGUCAGAAUAGAGUAGACAGCAGUUGCGGGUUUGGUUUUCUUUUCUUUUUCUUUUUGGCUUUAUGCUGGCUCAUUCACUAUCUCUUAAAUAGUGCUAUGAUUAUGAUUAGUAUUAUUUUUUAUUGUGGGAUCUGCACAGGCAGCAAUAACUUUUGUUUUCCUCCUUUAUUAGGAGACUUGAAGACAGCAAGACCUAGUAUUUGGGUACCAACCACCAACAGCAUUGCAAUCUGCAUAGGAUAUAACGCUGAUUGGGCAAGCCAUUAUUUUUUUUUUUAUGGAAAUGCAUUUGUUAAAUUCCAUCUAGUGCAGUGUGUUAGGAGUUUCUUUUUCAUUUUGUGAUGACAGAUUGCCUUAUAGCAAAUAUCUUUGUCAGAAAAAAAAUGAUUAUACCUUAAUCCCUUCUCAAAGCAUUUCACUUUUAUUCUUGUUUCCCUCCCAUCCUUCCCACACAGCUGUAUCUCUUUUAUAUUAUGAAAUGUAAUUGGCAGGAGUAAAAACAUUGAGUCAAAUAAUGUGAACCACUUUAUUGAUGUAAAUAUCUACACGCGAGAUUAGUGGAGAAUUCUGAAAGAGAUACCUAAGUAAUUAAUACUGGUCCCUUUGUGAUUCCCAUGAUGUCUUGUCAUAUCUAAGAAAUAGUUCUUUCAACUGAAUACCACAAUAAUAUUUCAAAAUGCUCCACGUUAAAUAGUAUUAAAGUUUUUAAUACAAAGUGUUGAUUUUUCAGUUACAGAUAUGUCUGUUUUGCUUUAGAAUUUUUAAAAUUAACAGCGAAUCUUAAAACCUUUGUCUUCAUAAACAAAACAAAGUAGUUAUGUCAGUAAUAAAGUAAAAAAAAAAAGACUGCCUUUUUGUUUUUGUGAAUAAGUGUUUUUAAGAACACAGGUUUCUGGGUUGAGACCAGCCUGGGUUCAAGUUCACUCUCUGGCACUUGGCACUUACUAGCUGGGUAACUUUAGGCAACUUGCCUGAACCGUUUAAUGAAGCACUGGUUUUCUCCUCUGUAAUAUGGCCAUAGUAAUAGCACAUGCUUGGUAGUAUUAUUUUGAGAUAAAAUAAGAUAAUGCAUGUAAGUGAUUGGCCAUUUGCCUAGCACAAAAUAAGUACCCAAAUGUGUUUUGAAAUCAUUUUGUGUUAUUCUAAAAGUCAUAAUUUAUGGUUAGUAAACAUUGUGCCUUUAGCUUAUAUUCACUUCGCAGUUCACAAACUGCUGUCACAGGCAUGGCCUCAUUUUAUCUUUGCCACAUACAUGAGACAUAAAAUUAUUAUCCCUGUUUUUUGGGGAGAAGACUGAGGCUUAGGAAAGCUAAAUGACUUAGCUAAGGGAUCACAGGUUGUCAGUAGCAGAACCAGGACUAAUCAAUGUACCUCUUAACAAGGUCAUCCCAGAAGCUAAAAUAUUUGUCUCUCUCCUGAAACAUAGGUGGACAGGUUUAGUGUAGGCAACAGUUAGACUUCUGUAUUUCGUUUCUGGCAUUUGAUGCGGUUCCUGUUAUAGAAGUCAUGACCUUGACUCUCACCUAACAGAUGGCAUUGCGUUGCUGCCCAGUGAAGUGGUUUCUUUUCGCAACUGAGCAAACAAAAUCAUGGUCUGCGUUUUCAUUAGGGCUUUCCACCCCUAUUCUCAGGAGGGCAGACAUUGCUCUCAUAUUUUCAGAAGGGAAAGGUUACACUGAACUUUCCACACUCUCCAGAAAAGAGAAUAUUGGAGAUUCUUUGACAAAAGUGAAAGUCUGUGCACAUUCCUUUAUUAAUAAGGGAAUUUUCCGUCCUCAUGGGAAUAUGAAUUUGAAUUAUUAGACAUUUGCUGAAGCUAGAUAAUAUAAAGGUGUCAACCUGUAUCCAUAAAAGACAAGACAGUGGGAGGAAGAGGCCAAGAGAAGAGGAGUACAGAUUUUACCUAACCCUGUUUAAAUUUAUCUACAUUGUCGUGGGGUCACAAUGCUUAAGCAUUAGACUGCUAACCUACCAGCAUUUCCACAUGAGAAAAGACCUGGUGGUCUGCUCCUAUAAAGAUUAAAAAAAGAUUACAGACUCAGAAACACAGUGGGGCAAUUCUACCCUGUCCUACAGGGUUGCUAUUAGUCAGAAUUGACUCAAAUCGAGGUCACACAACAACAGUCACAUCUGAAACAGAAUUUUUAACUUAAUUUAAUUUUAGUUACUGUAAACAGCCGCUUGUGGCUAGUGGCUAGUGGGUUUGUAUUGGAGAUAUAGACUAUGUCCAUUAUUGCAGAAAGUUUUACUGAACAGCGUUGGGCAUAGAGAGAGAACUAUAGAAGCAUAAACCAAGCCAAACCAAACCCACUGCCACUGAGUCAAUUCCGACUACCAGCGACCCUAUAGGACAGAGCAGAGCUGCCCCAUAGGGUUUCUAAAGAGCAGCUAGUGGAUUCGAACUGCUGACAUUUUGGUUAGCAGCCGAGCUCUUAAUUACUGCACCACCAGGGCUCCGUAGAAGCAUGGGUGAGGAGAUUAGAGAUAACUGAGGGCUGACCCAGCAAUGCCUGGCAGAAUUCCAUGACACCCCCUGUGGUGCUGUUCUCUCAUGCCACUGCAUGGGUUCCCCUUUAUUUUUCUUCCAUAUUGUAAUUAAAUUAAAAAUAUAACUUGAGCUUUUAAAAAUCUGUAAAGCUUUGUCUGGAGAAUCUCAUUGAUAUAAUUGCCGUGGGUUCUGCAGCAGCAAUUUUUUGUUUUAAUUCUUCCUCUCCUUGCUAUUCAGCUAAGUAAAAGGUAGAUGUCGAUGAUUGAACUACAGACUCUUGUUUUACAAAACUUAUGAAUGGCUCCCUGGGAAACACAGCCUUUAAGGACAAAGUACUGAACUAUUUUUUAGGAUAAAAUGUGGACACAGGUACAGGUGAGGCUAGCAAGGAGGGAGCAGAUGACGGUGUGGGGGCUAAUUUUUUUCCUUCAUCCCUAGGAAGUAUGUCAAUUUUCAUCGCCCAUGUUCAGCUUCUGCCGGAGGCACAAGGAGUCCUCUGGUGAUUUCAUGCUCAAAAAGCAACCAAAAGGCUACUGGACAUCUCUCAUGGUUGGCAGUGAAAACCCUUACUAUGAAUAAUGUUCUGUUUAUGAAAACUUUUUCGACAUCAUGUAAAAAUCUGUCUGAUGCUUUGAGGGAAUAGCAUGCACCCAAAUACGCUACUGAAAACAGGAUCGAGAACCAUACUCCAUGUGAUAGGUUCAGCCAUAUCACCUGCUAAAUAAAAGGAUAGCUGGGGGCAGGCGGAAAGACACCAAUGCAUAAUGCAGCUAGAAAGAAAGAGAAAGCAUAUUGUUUGCAUAAAAUUCAUUGUCUAGAUAAGAAUAAAAUACUAGAUACACGUGGCAAUGAACUUAGAUUGUGCCCGUUUUGAAAAAAAUCAAAUAAAUUUCUAGAAUUUAGUGCAUUUUUAAUAAUUUCUGUCAUAGAGCCCUGGGGGCGCAAAGGUUAAGCUCUCGGCUGCUAACUGCAAGGAUGGUGUUUCAAACUGACUCAGCGGCUCUGUAGGAGGAGGACUUGGCAGUCUGCUACUGUAAAGAUUACAGUCAAGAAAACCCUAUAAGGCAGUUCUACCCUUUCACAUGGGGUUGCUAUGAGUCAGAAUUAACUUGACAGUACGACAACAACAUUCCUAUCGUACAUUAAUCCUUGUUUGAACCGCAACAAAAUAUCCAUAUCACCUGCUUAGUGAUUUUUUUUUUUUUUUAAAGAAUAGGUGGUCCCAGGGUAUUUCCUAUUCGAUUCACAUGUCCAAAUUCUUCACCGUCUAGCUUAAUUUGAGAAACAUGACUUGAUUGCCUCUAGUGAGCCAAGCACACUUACUCUGUUGUUGUGUGCCGUUGAGUUGUUUCCGACUCAUAAAUACCACUAGAGGGGCUCUAAGUUGGUACAUAACUGAGUUCUUACCAUCAGAAUGUGCCCAAAGAGCAGACAGUUCUUAGCACUGAAGAGGGGAAGUAUGGACAAUUAAAUGUGUGCAAAAUACAGAGCCUCCUGAUAGGUCAGCCUGGUGGUUUUUCGAAAGAAGCAAAUGGUUUAGCAUUUAGGGAUUGUGGAACUAAAAAUAAAAUUAGAGCAAAGUAGGAAAAUAUUUAUAAGGAAUAAUUCAUCAGAUACAGACUAGAGAUCUUAUUUAUGUUUUACUUACAGAAAGUAAUAGACGUGUAUACAUUCUCAGGGUCUCGGAUGCUUCCGUUCGUUAAUCCAUUUUAGUAUUUUAGAUCACUGCUCAUUAAGGUUGUUACUUUAAUUUAUUUAAUCAAAAUAUUGACUCUAUUUUCAUGCUGCAAAUAACUGGUGACAUGAUUUGUAUUUUAAUGUGUCUUACCACUGAAAGCUAAACAAAAUAAUGUUUAUCCUUUUGCCAUUAAAAUAUUCAUGUUUUCAUAAUUUUAAAAUUUUAACUUAGAAGUUUUUUUAUGAAAAAGCCUUGUUUUCAGUUUUGCAAACUGCAAUCUUACGGUUGGCUUAAUGAAAAUUUAUAUAAUAGAACCUCCAAAUGAGGAAGUUAAGUCAUCUAUUUGUUCUGUGAAACAAUAGUCGUUGAAUUUCAACCAUCUAACUCUCUCAUUGAUGUUUGUUUGUUUGAGGUAUAGGAGCUGUAUCUCAUUGAAUAUUUCAAAGGCCAACUGUGACUUUGUGGAGCUUAACAAACAUUAUUUUAAUACAUUAAUAGGCCCUAAUAAGAACUCUAGCCAUUAGCUAAAUAAAUUAUCUUACUUUGGAAUGCUAUAUGGAAUACACGAAUAAUAUAGUCAUCUGAGUCUUUUAAGAGAUGGCUGCCAUGCAAACACAUGUGUGUGUGUUUUCCAACCAACGCUAGAUUGAGAUUUUAUUUUAAAGGAAAAUUUGCAAAUUUAUCUUUUAGAACAAUAAGAUGUUCCCUCUUAUUAUCUUAUUAUCUAAGGAUAUGAAAGUUGCAGCAGCAAAUUAUCUACUUGCUUUUGGCUAUAUUAGUUUUCUAUUGUUGCAUAAAAAUUUUCACAAACUUAGCAACUUAAAACACCCAUUUCUUAACUCACAGUUCUUUAGGUCAGAGCGUCAGAAUGGCAGGAAUGGGUUAUCUGCUCAGGGUCUCACAAUGCUGAAAUUAAGGUUUUGGCUGCCUGCCUUCUUAUUCGGAGCUCUGGAUCAUCUUCUAACUCCAUUCCUAUUAUUGUAAGAAUUCCCAUCCUUAUAGCUGUAGGACUAACGCCCCCAUCUCCUGGCUGGCUUUGGUCAGGGACCCCUUUCACCUCCUAGAGGCCACUCUCAGGUCCUUGCCUCAUGGUUCCUUCCAUCUCAGCAAUGGAGAACCCCCCACCUUGAAUCUCACUCAUUCUUCUAAUCUCUCUGACUUUCCCUUCUGCUCCUAGCCAGAAAACAUUGUUACUCAAGGGUUCAUGUGCUUAGGUAGGGCUCAUCCUGAUAAUCGCCCUUUCUAAAGAUCAACUGAUUAGUAAUCAUAAUUACAUCUAUACAAAUAAGUAGUAGUUUCAGAUGGUAGAUGGGCGUCAGUUCAUGCAAAAGCCUUUAUCCUCUCAUUGCAAUGGAACUGUUUUACCUAUAUUGUCUCCCCUGUAAAGUGAGAGAAAAUAGUAUGCUCAGCAGAACGCAGCGCAAAUAACACUUAUGACUAGUCAAUGAUAUUAUUUAUAUAAAGUGUUUAGAAUAUUGCAUGCUACACUUUAAACUCUCAGAAAUGUUAGCUAAUUUUAGUAUUGUUACCAUUAUUAUGAUUAUUAUGUCCUAUUGACAGUAAAUGAAGGCCAAGUAAGGAAGAGUAUGAACUUAAUAAUGUGAAGAUUGUCAACAAUUUACUGAGUAGUAGUAUUACUGAAAAACAUUGCAUCCCUGGUAAAAACCUUUGGAAGGCCAUUUUGAGAGCUACCGUGAUACCUUACUAGAUAUAUCGGGAACUGCCUGCACUUUGUUAAAGGAUGGGUUCCAUUCGAUUGGUGUAAACUAUGUUCUUUCCAAGAUCUGUUAAGUACCAGUUAUCUCUCUUUAAAGAUCAUUUUACCGGAGACAUGAAGACUGGAGACAUCCCAGCAAAUGUGGACACUUCUUAUCAGUCUUAUUGGUGUUGACCGUGCUGACCGAGCCUGUGUUGAAGGGGUGUCCUGAAAGUGUCCAGGUGUCAGCAAAGCAUAUCUGACUCUUCGCCAAAACACUUCUCCCUAGAAGUCUCAUAGCGUCUUCUGACCUGUGACUGUGUACAGUAACAGCAGCUUUGCGGCAUUUAUCCCACUCAGCUCUACUUUGGAAACCUUACUGGCGUAGCAGUUAAGUGUUAUGGCUGCUAACCAAAAGGCCAGCAGUUCUAAUCCAUCAGGUACUUUAUUUUAUUUUUAAAUUCUUCUUUUCUAUGACUUGUAAGAAAUCUUUGACUUUGUUGGUAACAAACAAAAUGAAAAUUAAUUCCUUUCAUAACACAAAGCUUGAAUAUUGUAAUUGGCAUAAAUUCAGUUCUAGUCUUUCUCCAAAAAUAAGAUGCUUACUCCAGCAUGAUUUGCUUCCUUCCUAAUUCUACAUAUUUGCAAUUUAGAAUGUUCUAUUCCUAUGGGACUAAUCUAAGCGCAGAGUGUUCUUUGAACUUAAUGUGUGCACUGUGGUCAGGUCAAUCCCAUCAGGGCAGAGAUUAAGAAAUGGCCCAGAACUUAUUUAAAUCAUGUAGUUGCCUGGAAAUAAGUUUAGCUUAUGCAAGCAUGCUGUAAAAUGUGACUGGAGACUGUUUCUCUUAAUUCUAACUCAAUUUAUUCGUUUUAAAACAAGAGCCAAAUAUUAAGAUAAUUUUCGCUGUUUAAUAUUUCUAACAUAAUUUGAUAGCUGUCAACAUAAUUCAUUUUUUAGUUACCUGAUAGGUAAUGAACGAAUCUUGCAAGUCUCAUCAUUUCUGUCAUGUCUUCCUUCCAUCUGCUCUUUUGUUUCUUUCCCUUCAGUUGCUUGACUCUCCGAAAUAUGUAAAGUACAUUUAAUUUUAAUCUAGAUGAAAGUUUAUUGGCAUGAGAGUCCCGUGACCAAAAGAAAUGUUGCAAAGCUGGUGUCUCUAUGCUAAUGCUCAAUAACGUUCAAAGAAGAAACUUUCUUUUCCUCAAUUACCUGGGGUUUCAGAGCAUCUAAUUGUCCUAAUUUUCCUCCUUCCUUGGUCAUCUCCUUCAUUUCCCCACCAAACCUGCUCCUUGUGUGGACUUCCCUUCUUGGGGCAAACUUUGCCUAGCCUCCUCUGUUUCUCACACCCCACAUCCAAACGAAUCAGCAAAUCCAGUGAGCUAUAUUUCAAAAUGUAACCCAGUAUCUGACAAUUUCUCACCACCUUCUUUACUUCCAGCUUGGUCCUGGCCACCACCCUCUUUCACCUGGAUUACAGUAACACCUCUUGACUGGUGUUCCUGCUUGUACAUUUGCCCACUUCGUUCUAGUCUCAACUCAUCAGAAGAGGGGACUGCUAAAACCUAGGUUGUGCCAUGUCACUACUUUGCUCAGAAUCCUUCAAGGACCUCUCAUCUUCAUCAAAAUUAAAAUCAAAAUCCUUAUAAUAGCCUACCAGCCGUGGGUUCCUCUUACCUCUCUGAUUCACCUCCUUCUACUCUUGCUCUGCUCCAGUCACACUGGCUUCCUCUCUCUUCCUCUCCAAGCACAGUGCUACCUCAGAGACUUUAAACUUUCUGUUAAUUCCAAACUUGGGCACUCACUCCUCUGAUAUCCUUUGUUUCACUUGCUUGGAUCCUCUGUUCUUUACUCAAAUAUUGUCUUUACUGCCCAUCCUUUUUUAUAUUUAUAACCACAACGCCCCUCUUUCUGGCACUUCCCAUCCACUUCUUAUUUUAUUUUUCUCCCAUGUAUGUCUAUAGAUUUUACUUAUGUAUUUUGUUUGUUCUCUGUCUCUCCUCUCCCAACUAGAAUAAAGGCUCCCAGUCUAUUUUAUAGUUCACUACUUUAUCCUCAGUCUCUGGCACUUGAGGACACUCAAUAAAUAUUCAUUGCAUGAAUGCAUGAAAGAUUACUGCCCAUCUUCCUCUCCUUGGGUUGUUGUGUGCUGUUGAGUCAGUUCCAACUCAUGGUGACCCUAUAGGGCAGAGCAGAACUGUCCUAUAGGGUUUCCUAGGUUGUCAUCUUUAUGGAAGCAUAUCACUAGGUCUUUUCUCUUGUGGAAUGGCUGGUGGGUUCAAACUGCUGACCUUUCGGUUAACGCCUGAGAGCUUAACCAGGGCUCCUUCUCCUUGGGUAGAAGCAGGAGAUAUAAAAUAUGAACUAUUGGAUGAUCACAUUUGCCACACUGGUUGCUGGAGAUUGGUUAAAAAAAUAUUUAGAGAACAUGCAUUUUUAAAAGAUUGAUUAAAUACUAUUCUGUUCAAACCUAAAAAAAAAGAAAAAAAAAACUGUAAGUAAAGGAAUCAAAAUAUAUUUAAAUUAAUUGUUUCUAGGUCAUUAAUGAACUUGACAGUGCUGUUGCUCUCCAGGCACUAUAUAUAGCUGAUAUCAAGCCAAAGGUCCUUCACAAUCCUUAAAAUCUCUUUGAAUUUCUGAAGAAAUACCCAGGCUUACGGGAAGAAGUUUAAUGAGACAUUGUGCUGUUCAUGAGAGAAGAAAUCAUAGUCUCUGACCUCAGGGGCAUUGAUGAAAUAAUAGAGCAAAAUCUCUAGGGAAAUUAGUUUUUAGGAAGUGGAAUCUGGUGGCUCAUUGCACAUUCUAAAUAGCGUCGGAGUAAGAAUGACAGUCUGGCUGAUUGGGUUUAGUGAUGUGGAUAGAUUUGGCUGCCACAUCAUUCAAACUGAAUUGAAAACCCUUAAAUAUCAAUGAGAUCUUACAAAGGUAUAAGAACUAAGGAAAAAAAAUGAAAACAAAAAACCAAACCUUUUGCCUUUGAGUUGAUCCCAACUCAUAGCAACCCUAUAGGACAGAGUAGAACUGCCCCACAGGGUUUCCAAGGAGUGGCUGGUGGAUUCAACUGCAGACCUUUUGGUUAUCAGCCGAACUCUUAACCACUUUGCCGCUGGGGAACAAUUUAAUCGAGGGCUUAAUUUAAAUGAGAACAUCAGGUAAGCUAGGGAUCAGGACCAUUUCAGUAUUAAGAUUUUAAUCAAUGAAGACAGAUAAUCUUAAAUUUGUUCUUGCACUCGCCUUAAUUUAUUAAUUCACAAACAUUGAUGGAAUAUCUACUGGGUACCAGGCACUAUGCUUGGACGGUGUACAUUGAUGACUGUGACAGACUGGAUCCUUGCCCUCACAAAGCUUUGUUCUCCUGGAGAAGAUUGACAUGCAAGCAGGCAAGUGAGUGCUAGAAGGGAAAAUAAAACGUUGUUAUUAGAGAGAAUGUUCUGUUUUUAUCCAUAAGGUUUUCAAAUGGUACAGGACCAAUGAUGCAUCCAAAUGGCACAGGACCAGGCCAUAUUAUAUGUAAGGUCAUCAUGGGUCAGGGCUGACUUGAUGGCAACUAACAACAAUAAAAGUAGAGAGAAUAACAGACGGCACAAAUGUUAAGCUGAGUGGUCAGGAAAAACUGGACUGAAGACUUGAUACCAGUUCCUAAAGUAUUUGAGUAAGCUAUACAUCGGGGGAGAAAAAGUCCCUGGGUGAUGCAAAUGAUUAACGUACUCGGCUACUAACUGGAAGGUUGGAAGGUUGGAGGUUUGAGCCCCCCUAGAGGCGCCUCAGAAGAAAGGCCUUGUGACAUCCUUCUGAAAAAUCAGCACAGUUCUACUGUGACACACAUGGGGUCACCAUGAGUCAGAAUCAACUCGAUGGCAACUGGUAUAUAUGCAAAUCCUCUGUAAGGGCAUCCAGAUUUGUGGCCUAGGUCCCCCUUUCCCACUUUCUGGAAGACUUUAUAUUCCUAGUUCCCUGUUUUCUUCUGCAAAUGCUUUUGGUUUUUCUUCACUGACUCUUUCCCUUCUCUCCCAUUAUAGAGUCUCUUCUAUUUGGGAAAAAAAGAAAUCAUGUUUAAACUCUUCUUUCUAGCUUUACUGACUUCAUUUCCUCUCUACUCAAAACAUUCCUUAGUGUGUUUAAAUGUGUUUCUGAGGCAUAAGUUCAUCGAAAAGACUAAUGCUCGUGUAUUCAAACAUCUAAUUCACUCGUGCUACUCCCGUCUUUGCUUCAGGUACCCGUGUCUUUUUGUACUAACUUAUGAGCCACUAAAUCUUAAAACAAUGAAUAUUUAUAAUGCAUCUGAUAGUAGAUGGCAGUUUUGAAUAGAUUAAACCGUUCCAGGCUAAAACAAAACUCUUGCUAAAAAGAAUUUAAAUACUUAAAUUAAGACCUGAACAAUGUAGAACCAUGUAAUACCACAUGACUCGGUGUGGAUGUGGAAUGGAUAGUUGUAAAAAGUAAAUAAAUAUUGAUUAAUGGUUAAAAGUUAAUAAAGUGAUUUUUUUUUUUUAGGUGUUUAAUCUCCAAGACACUGGGGAUGAAUGAGAUCACAUUAAAAUUAAUUCUCCAAUCUCAGUAUCUCUAGGCCCAUCUGCUCAAGCCUAAGUCCCAGUGACUUGCACAAUCUCUCUUGCUCAAGCAUCUCUGAGACUCUGAGGGGGCACCUUGCAAUUGCCUCUGUAUGGUUUUUCCAGGAUGCCACUUCGUGCUGGCCUGUACUUGACCAGUGGCCUGGACCCAUGCUUAUUCGUCCCUAAACUACCCAGUAGCAGACACCAGCAAGGUUGUUCUAGUUGUUAAUGCCCUCCAUUCCACCCAUGGCAGUGCCAACACACACAUUUGCAAAGUAGAAAGGGAAAUGUGUUCUCCCUUCUUGUUCUCUCAGACGAGCCCAGUAGCUGGGCUUUUUUUUGAACACUCAAGUUUUAGGAAUCUAGUGAAAAAGUUCUUCCAGUUCUUACAUUUAACCAUUUGUAUUUUCAGGAUACGACUGGGAAAAUUCAUGCAUUAAUCACUAUAAUCUACCAGAUUCUACAACUUUCAGAAUCUCAGGCUUUGUAGCUGAGUCUUUUUAUUCUUACUAGACUACUUUUCUUUAGAGUGAAUUUGUAACCAAAGACCUACUUUACGUUUUAUUGCAGAUGGGCUAGGUCAUUCUACAAUAGUAAACCUCCAAAAUCGCAGUUGGUUAGAACAACAAAGGUUUAUUUUUCACUCAUGCUCUGUGUUCACCCUUGGUUGAGUAUGGAAAUCCUAUGGGGCAGUUCUACUCUGUCUUAUAGGGCCACUAUGAGUUGGAAUUGACUUGAUGGCAACCAGUAAGGCCACUCACCUCCCAUGUAAACCUGUGGCUGCAAAUAAAUGCUGUCUGAGUUUCCGCUUCUGCCAAGCAGCAUACCUGUUUCUUACUCAGGGAUAGAGCUAAGGAGAGGCUACCCCAUCUGGAAAGUUCCCAGUCACUAUGGAUGGCAGAGGAGCUGGAAUAUCGUAAACCUGUUUCUAAUGUUUUUCCCCUGGAAGUGAGAGGUGUCACUAUGAGGUGACUUACUUCAUUAGCCAAAGUGAGUCAGGUGGCCAUGCCUAACUCCCAGGGGGCAAGGACGUACAAACCUGCCAUGUGCCUAGAAGGAGGAGAACUGACAGCGUUGAUGAACAGCACUAGUGAUGAUCAUAUUCCCCUUUCAAAAAUUUUCUGUAUAACCUUUUCCUCUCUCCCCAGCUAUUCUUGCCCCUUGUGACAUAUCUCUAUAUGUAUGACCUUCAGUCAUGUAAAAGGCUCAAGGUUCCUCUGUAUUAGUUAUCUGUUACUAAGUAAAAAAAAAAAAAAAAGUUCCAAAUUUAGCAAUUUGAAUCAACAAACAUCUAUUAUCUGACACGGUUUCUAAGUAUCAGGAAACCAGCAUGAAUUCGCUGCGUGAUUCUGGAUAAGGGUCUCUUAGAAGUUGUUGGCUGAGGACACAGUCAUCUAAAGGCUCAGCCACUUCCAUGUUCUCUCAUGUAGUAUUACCAGGUUUCAGUUCUUUGCUAUAUGAGCCUUUCCUCUCAUGACAGCUUGGGGACAUAACAGCUGUGUCCAUCAGGGUGAGAGAUGAGAGAGAGAGAGAUACCAAGAGAGAAGCUACAGUCUUUUCUAAUAUUGAACAUGCCAUGCUAUCACUUCUGCAGAAUAUUGUCAGUCACACAGACCAACCCUAGUACAGUUUGGGAAGGGGCUACACAAAUAUGUGAAUUCUAGGAAGUGGGGUAAUUAGGGCCCAGGUGGUGCAGUGGUUAAGGGUUUGGCUGCCAGCCAAAGAGUCAGCAGUUCAAAUCCACCAGCUGCUUUUUGGAAAUGCUAUGGGGCAGUUCUACUCUGUCUUAUAGGGUCACUAGGAGUCAAAAUCAACUGGAUGGCAACCAGUUUGUUGGUUGGUUGGUUCGUUGGUUGGUUUUUUGGGAGGUUGGCUACCACGCCCAUUUCAUAAGGCCACUCAUGUCCCAUGUAAACCUGAGGCUGCAAAUAAAUGCUGUCUGAGUUUCAGCUUCUGCCAAGCAGCAUACUCAACCAGGUGUAAAUGCAAUUAAAAACGUCUCUCUAAGGGGUCACUUCAUUUCAACUAGUGUUGAUCUUCUCCUGUGCAAUUAAAGGGUUCUUGCUCUUAACUCUCUGUGUCUUAUAUCCAAGGAGGCAUGUUCACUGUUCCACUGAACAUUUCCUUUAUUAAUAAUUUAUUAAAUGGUAUUUUUAAGUCACUUGUGUUUAGGUGGUUGUUAUGCUUUAAAUGUUAGCAGACAUAAUGCAUAACAAAUAAGAGCAAAUGAGCACUCAAUCGUAUUCCCUGCCCCUUGCUAUAGAGCCCUGAGCUGUGUGAGCUGAAUGUGACUUUAAAUAGAAUGCUGGGAGCAAUUAGAAAUAGUGGCACAGUGGCAGAAACCCCACAUUAAAACCAGCCUUGUCAGCGCUCUGUGAUUCUAGAUGCCAGGGCUCUUUUUGGGUUAAUCAAGAAAUCAUUGACAGAUAUUAGGGGAAAAGUACCAUUUUCUAAGUAGAAGGCAGUUCCCAUUUGAAGGGAGAAAAGAAUUUAUAGCCAUUAUAAUAAUAAAUAAGGUCAUGCAUAAGUGAAUUUUUAUGCACUCAUGGUUUUAUUGAGCAAAAAAAAAAAAAAAAGAAAGAAAUUUAUUUUCCUUUCUUUGUUAAUUGUUCUUAUAGCCAGACAAAAUAUGAACCCCACUGUGCGGGCAACUGGGUACUCCUUCCUACCUUCUCAUUUAUGUUGAAAGAGUUUUAUUUGUAGAAAACCCUCAAAUCAGCCUCUUAUUAUUGUGCCAGUGUUGUGUCUUGGGGUCAUUCAGCCAAACCGUACAACGCUACUGAUGCAGGCAGUUUGUUAGAAGCCCAAGGAUAGCUUCCCUCUUCUUCAUCCCUCCUUCGCCUAUUGUUUUUGCAUUUUUGGUUGGUUUUUCCUACCAUUCAAAUCUCUUACACCCCCAAAUUAUAGUACGCUGAUUAUGUGCACAGUUUCCACUCCUACCGGCCCCCUUUUCCCUCCCCCAGUGACAUCUCACUUUAUUCCCGAGAAAAACAACGCCCUCCCAUCUAAGCUUGCUGUGUUUACAGCUCUCUGCUCUUCCUUUCUCCUCCUGGCAGGCUGUUUUAAUUAAUUUUACCAAAUGACUUUCCUGGCAGCUGUAAAAAGAAAACGCAGAGCAAGUUAACAGCAAUCUAAUGCUGUACUUUUUGUCAUUUCUCUAAAAUGUAGAGAACUCUUUGGUCAUUGGAUUGAUUUUUAAUGAUCUAAACGAUCAGAUGCCUUCUCGCUGCACUGCAGCAGCCUGAAAAUAAUAGGAAGGGGAGGGGCUUGGGCACCGGGCGCUCACUCCACGCUGGGAGAGUAAUCCCCAACACCAGCCAAGGAGACAAUAUAGCAUAGCUGCCCUUGCCAAAUCAUGUAUUCGCUUUUUUAAACAAAAGCACCUGGCUAUUUUCAUUUUGCAUAUGAAAGAAUGAAAACAAGAUGUUUUUGACGAGGGUUUAGAAAGUGAAUAGGGUUAGGUAUCAAACUACAGCAUAAUUUUAUACGUAUUUUUGACAUAAGCAGGACGUCAGUAAGGUGCCUCCCAACAUCCCUAAAUAAUAUAUUGAACAUCCCAACAGUGGAGGAAAACAUUGGUACUAUUAUUAUU